ensembl:lncRNA UBE2Q2P1 UBE2Q2 pseudogene 1
AGCGCCGCCGAGAGGUCCCGCGGGUGGUCGCGGCCAUGACAGCGGCUCCCGACCGGCUCACCUUCCGCGCCCCUCCCGCCAGAGGUGAGAGUAAAAUGUCCGUGUCAGGGUUCAAGGCCAAGCUGAAGUUGUUGUCCUCUAUUUUCCACAAGAACCAGGAGCCGCCGCGGCAGCUCAGGCUCCACUGCAACAUCACGGUGAGGCGCCCAGCGGCGGCUUCACACGGCAGGGCGAGGGCGGAGAGGAAGAGCCCGGAGUCCCGGGACAAAGGGGAACCUGCCCAGGAGAGGCCCCGGUUCCCCGGGCCGGGUGAGCGCGCACCUUUCUCCCGCGACUGGCCUGGCCCCGAUCGCCGGGACUGCGGGAGGCUUGGGUGGGAGGAGGGGGAGGGCGCGUCUCUCUGGCUCCUUGCUGCGGGGCUGGCUUGGGGGCUGCCGGCACCUCUCGCCCCAGUCACCGCGCCCCGAGGUGGGAGCCCGCGUCGCCCGCAGCCCUUUCGGGGCCCAUGGUCGCCCUCAGUCAGCCAGCCUGCUCCCCGGGACCGCGACGGGGCGUGGCAGGGCGUCUCCGGCUGUUGUUUGAGCCCGGGCGGGGAAGGGGAAAGGCCUUCAAGAUUUUCGGGGUUUUGGCCGGGCGCAGUGCUCGUUCCUGUAAUCCCAGUACUUUGGGAGGCUGACGCAGCUGGAUCGCCUGAGGUCAGGAGUUCUAGACUAGCCCGGCCAACAUGGUAAAACCCUGUCUCUACUAAAAAUACAAAAAUUAGCCGGGCAUGGUGGCAGGCACUUGUUGAGAUGGAGUCUCACUCUGUCGCCCAGGCUGGAGUGCAGUGGGGUGAUCUCGGCUUACUGCAGCCUCCGUCUCUUGACAGUCCAUGGGUUCAAGCGAUUCUCCUGCCUCAGCCUCCCGAGUAGCUAGGAUUACAGGCUCCUGACACCACGCCUGGCUAACUUUUGUGUUGUUUAGUAGAGACAGGGUUUCACCAUGUUGGCCAGGCUGGUCUCGAACUCCUGACCUCAAAUGACCCAUCUCUGCCUCCCAGAGUUCUGGGAUUACAGGCCUGAGCCACCGCGCCCAGAUCCAAGGCCCUUAAGCUUAAAUGCCUCGUUCUUCAGUCAGGUUUUCCUUGUUCCCGCAUGUUCAGCCAAUCGUGUUUAAGGAGAAACUAACAAUGAAAACGGGCUUGUUGAUGGAGGAAAAGUUGGAAUGCAGCCUCUGGUGCUGUUUGAGCGAUCCCUCUAUCCCGGGUCGCUGCUGUGUUCUGGAAAGGCACAUUGUACCCUGGAUGCAGCAGCUUCAUCAGCAAUGGAAGUGGCUGAUAUGUGGACUCUGCAGAUUAUAUAACCUUCCUAAGCACCCGAAUGUUGAGAUGCCAGAUCAACCACUACCCAUGGGUCAGAAUGGGACAACAGAAGAAGUGACUUCAAAAGAAGAGGAAGAAGAAGAGAUGGAUGAAGAUAUAGAAGACUUAGAUCACUGUGAGAUGAAAGAAGAGCCUACUAGUGAGAAGAAGUUGGAGGAUGAAGGAACUGAAAAAGAAAACUGGGCAAUAUUAGAGAAAAUUAGGAAGACUGAAAGGCAAGGCCAUUUAAAUGUGUUGACCCUGAUAGUUCUUUGCACAGUGAUCUUCAGAUCUUAAAAGAAAAAGAAGAGAUAGGAGACAUUUUGCUUAUGUUUUAAGGUAUGUAUUGGGUAGAGGAGCAUUAUAUAUGGAACCUCUCACAAAACAGGUGAUUAUUUUCUUAUUAUACUCAAUUUUCACCCUGAAUAGAGUGUUUUGAUUAUGUAAGUUAGAUCGUAAGUAGAUGGCUCUCUUAAAGACAUUUUAGUGGUUUUUUGUUUGUUUUGUUUUGUUUUGCUUUUUUCCGUAGCUCCUACUUUCAAGAAUGAAAAAGGUAUCCCAGCAGUUUGGGAGGCUGAGGCGGGCGGAUCACGAGGUCAGGAGAUUGAGACCAUCCUGGCUAACACGGUGAAACCCCGUCUUUACUAAAAAAUACAAAAAAAUUAGCCAGGCGUGAUGGCAGGCGACUGUAGUCCCAGCUACUCGGGAGGCUGAGGCAGGAGAAUGGCGUGAACCCGGGAGGCAGAGCUUGCAGUGAGCUGAGAUGGUGCCACUGCACUCCAGCCUGGGUGACAGAGUGAGACUCCAUCUC